rnacentral:rRNA from 1 species
GAGUUUGAUCCUGGCUCAGAGCGAACGCUGGCGGCAGGCCUAACACAUGCAAGUCGAACGAACUCUUCGGAGUUAGUGGCGGACGGGUGAGUAACACGUGGGAACGUGCCUUUUGGUUCGGAAUAACUCAGGGAAACUUGUGCUAAUACCGAAUGUGCCCUUCGGGGAAGGAUUAUCGCCAUUAGAGCGGCCCGCCGUCUGAUUAGCUAGUUGGUGAGGUAAAGGACUCACCAAGGCGACGAUCAGUAGCUGGUCUGAGAGGAUGAUCAGCCACAUUGGGACUGAGACACGGCCCAAACUCCUACGGGAGGCAGCAGUGGGGAAUCUUGCGCAAUGGGCGAAAGCCUGACGCAGCCAUGCCGCGUGAAUGAUGAAGGUCUUAGGAUUGUAAAAUUCUUUCACCGGGACGGAUAAUGACGGUACCCGGAGAAGAAGCCC